UACAUAGGGGGCAAGCGUUAUCCGGAAUUAUUGGGUGUAAAGGGUGCGUAGACGGAGAAACAAGUUGGUUGUGAAAUCCCUCGGCUCAACCGAGGAACUGCAACCAAAACUAUUUCCCUUGAGUGUCGGAGAGGAAAGUGGAAUUCCUAGUGUAGCGGUGAAAUGCGUAGAUAUACGGAGGAACACCAGUGGCGAAGGCGGAUUGCUGGACAGUAACUGACGCUGAGGCGCGAAAGCGUGGGGAGCAAACAGG
rnacentral:rRNA from 1 species